rnacentral:misc_RNA from 1 species
GAUGAAGAACGUAGCGAAAUGCGAUAAGUAAUGUGAAUUGCAGAAUUCAGUGAAUCAUCGAAUCUUUGAACGCACAUUGCGCCCUCUGGUAUUCCGGGGGGCAUGCCUGUUCGAGCGUCAUUAUAACCACUCAAGCUCUCGCUUGGUAUUGGGGUUCGCGGUUUCGCGGCCCCUAAAAUCAGUGGCGGUGCCUGUCGGCUCUACGCGUAGUAAUACUUCUCGCGAUUGAGUUCGAUAGGUCUACUUGCCAGUAACCCCCAAUUUUUACAGGUUGACCUCGGAUAAGGUAGGGAUACCCGCUGAACUUAAGCAUAUCAAUAAGCGGAGGA